CACAGAGAGACACAGAAGGAAAUAUUGGGAUGGGAAAGAACAGUUUAUUUACAUUACGUGAGAUGUGAUUGCAGACAGCGCACUGGGCUGUGGUAGAACUGACCAGUGGCACCUUGCCUUUGCUCUGCUCAUUCCCGCCGGAGCAGCUGUGCCACGGGGACGCUGAACUUCGGAGCAGCUGCCUGCAAUGAACCUUCACAUGCAGGAAUGUUGGCAGGAGUGCAUGGAAGCACAUCAGCAAGGUUUAGCUGGUGGAUCAUAUUGUGAAAUCUGCAGCCAUAAAAGGCCCUCCAUUUACUGCACCCUUCAAAACGAAAUGUUAGCAUGGGAGGCUAAGCUGGAGGCUAAUAACGAAGGAGUCAGUGAAGGAGACCGAUGCCACAAGGGUUAUCUCACAGCCCCAGAUGCUGGAUAAGUUGAAGCAGAAUCACUUUUGGAUGACAUUCAGGAAGGCCUUGAAUGAUUAUCUUGCGAAAAAAAGACUAUUCUUUCCAAGGGAUUUUUUCCUCUCAAUGCAGCAAUAAUCUCUCAGGAAUCCUUUUUGAGACAAAGGAUCACUCCACAUCCAACCACACCUAAGGAAAUGCUUUGAAGGAAUUGAGCAGCUUGCUUUUAAUCACAAGAGAGAAACUACCCACAUGGAGUCAGCAGAAAAUGAAAAAGUAGAGCUCGUGCUGCGAAUAAUUCCAGCAAGUGCCAAGGGGCUAGUUGAGAAAUGACUUCAUGAGGUGAAUAUCUUUAGCUCUUACUUAGGGUUUAGUUACUGUAUGAUCAUUUUCUCUUUUAGGAGCAAUGAAUAUCAUAAGCGUAUUU